GAUGAAGAACGCAGCGAAAUGCGAUACUUGGUGUGAAUUGCAGAAUCCCGUGAACCAUCGAGUUUUUGAACGCAAGUUGCGCCCGAAGCCUUUUGGCCGAGGGCACGUCUGCCUGGGCGUCACGCAUCGCGUCGCCCCCCACAAUUCUCCGUAAAGGGAACAUGUGUUUUGGGGGCGGAUAUUGGUCUCCCGUGCUCAUGGCGUGGUUGGCCGAAAUAGGAGUCCUUUCGAUGGACGCACGAACUAGUGGUGGUCGUAAAAACCCUCGUCUUUUGUUUCGUGCUGUUGGUCGCAAGGUAAACUCUUUAAAAACCCCAAUGUGUCGUCUCUUGACGACGCUUCGACCGCGACCCCAGGUCAGGCGGGACUACCCGCUGAGUUUAAGCAUAUCAAUAAGCGGAGGA
rnacentral:misc_RNA from 1 species